rnacentral:rRNA from 1 species
GACGAACGCUGGCGGCGUGCUUAACACAUGCAAGUCGAACGGAAAGGCCCCUUUGGGGGUACUCGAGUGGCGAACGGGUGAGUAACACGUGAGUAACCUGCCCUUGACUUCGGGAUAACUUCAGGAAACUGGGGCUAAUACCGGCUAGGAAUCCUUGCUGCAUGGUGGGGGUUGGAAAGCUUCGGCGGUUUGGGAGGGACUCGCGGCUUAUCAGCUUGUUGGUGGGGUAGUGGCUUACCAAGGCUUUGACGGGUAGCCGGCCUGGGAGGGCGGCCGGCCACAUUUGGACUGAGAGACGGCCCAGACCCCUACGGGAGGCAGCAGGGGGGAAUAUUGCCCAAUGGGCGGAAGCCCGAUGCAGCAACGCCGCGGGCGGGAUGACGGCCUUCGGGUUGGAAAACGGCUUCAGCAGGGGCGAAGCUUGUGGUGACGGUACCUGCAGAAGAAGCACCGGCUAACUACGUG